AAUUCAAGAUUAAACACCUCCAUAAAAAAUACUCUUCCAGUUCCCCACCAGCAAUGACAGCCUAGGCAUUUGAGUGAUACAGAGGAAGCUGGAUCCCCUCAAGAUUUUGAAGACAUGCCCUGAGGAGAGCAAGGAAAGUUUCAGAGCCUGGAACAAGAAAGAGCUAAAGAAAAGUCGUGGAAGCAAUAAAGACAAAACGUGAGGGAGGAAAGCAAGAAGAGGAGAAAUAGUAUACUCACAGGUGGCAUU